rnacentral:rRNA from 1 species
UGGGGAAUAUUGGACAAUGGGCGCAAGCCUGAUCCAGCCAUGCCGCGUGAGUGACGAAGGUCUUCGGAUUGUAAAGCUCUUUUACCAGGGACGAUAAUGACGGUACCUGGAGAAUAAGCCCCGGCUAACUUCGUGCCAGCAGCCGCGGUAAUACGAAGGGGGCUAGCGUUGUUCGGAAUUACUGGGCGUAAAGCGCACGUAGGCGGAUUUGUAAGUCAGGGGUGAAAUCCCGGGGCUCAACCUCGGAACUGCCUUUGAUACUGCAAGUCUCGAGUCCGAUAGAGGUGAGUGGAAUUCCUAGUGUAGAGGUGAAAUUCGUAGAUAUUAGGAAGAACACCAGUGGCGAAGGCGGCUCACUGGAUCGGUACUGACGCUGAGGUGCGAAAGCGUGGGGAGCAAACAGGAUUAGAUACCCAUGUAGUCCCUGAGCGGGCUGGCAAGGCGCAU